CGCGCGCGCGGCGCUGCGGGUUCGUCGCAGCCCACUUCGGCUGGGCCUCCGCGGCGGAUGCGACCGCCGCGUCGAGUUCGUCCUUCGAUGCGAGCGGC
rnacentral:tRNA from 1 species